CAGGCAUGAAAGAAAUGAGGUUGAUGCGCCACUCAACACCAUGAGAAUACAUCACAUCACUAGAAAAAAAAUGAUAUUCCGCUUCUAAUACCGUAAUGAAAAGAGGAUUUUGGUUGAUGUAGAAGCUCUCACACACCACACCACUUGAAUGGUUGAUGUAGAAGAUAUUCCGCUUCUAAUACCACUUGAAAAGAGGAUUUGCAUCUUGUUAACUUUAGAUUUGCCAUUUUCUUUGCUUGUUGCAGCUGCUCAAGGUCAAAACUUCUGUACCUUAUUGAUCACAUGAUAUAUUUCAUAGUUUAGGACAAACAAUGAAUCCGUUCGACCAAGUAAUAAUACAUCAAUAUAUGACACCAAAUAUCAUAUACCUGAAAUGAUAUAAACAAUAAUAAUAUACACACGCAGCAGGACACCUAUAUAUAUUAAUGCGGGAUUUAAUGUCUAAAUUAUAAGCUAAAGUAUAAGAUUAGGAAAAACAUACAAGUAAUCUGAUCGUGGAAGACUCGUUACUGAGUUUCCCCUCCAAUAACAUGAAUAUUUUGUAUCAACAACUUGCAAAUUUUCAUGAAAUAAAUGAAAGAAAAACCUUCUCAAACAUUAUGAUGAAAGAAUUGGAGGGGAAACUAUGACCCGCCACUAUUUUGAAGGCAUC
rnacentral:lncRNA from 1 species